rnacentral:rRNA from 1 species
UGGGGAAUAUUGGACACUGGGCGAAAGCCUGAUCCAGCCAUGCCGCGUGUGUUAAGAAGGUCUUCGGAUUGUAAAGCACUUUAAGUUGGGAGGAAGGGCAGUAAGCGAAUACCUUGCUGUUUUGACGUUACCGACAGAAUAAGCACCGGCUAACUCUGUGCCAGCAGCCGCGGUAAUACAGAGGGUGCAAGCGUUAAUCGGAAUUACUGGGCGUAAAGCGCGCGUAGGUGGUUCGUUAAGUUGAAUGUGAAAGCCCCGGGCUCAACCUGGGAACUGCAUCCAAAACUGGCGAGCGAGAGUAGGGCAGAGGGUGGUGGAAUUUCCUGUGUAGCGGUGAAAUGCGUAGAUAUAGGAAGGAACACCAGUGGCGAAGGCGACCACCUGGGCUCAUACUGACGCUGAGGUGCGAAAGCGUGGGGAGCAAACAGG